CCAAACUGUUGCCUCGGCGGGAUCUCUGCCCCGGGUGCGUCGCAGCCCCGGACCAAGGCGCCCGCCGGAGGACCAACCAAAACUCUUUUUGUAUACCCCCUCGCGGGUUUUUUUAUAAUCUGAGCCUUCUCGGCGCCUCUCGUAGGCGUUUCGAAAAUGAAUCAAAACUUUCAACAACGGAUCUCUUGGUUCUGGCAUCGAUGAAGAACGCAGCGAAAUGCGAUAAGUAAUGUGAAUUGCAGAAUUCAGUGAAUCAUCGAAUCUUUGAACGCACAUUGCGCCCGCCAGUAUUCUGGCGGGCAUGCCUGUCCGAGCGUCAUUUCAACCCUCGAACCCCUCCGGGGGGUCGGCGUUGGGGAUCGGCCCUGCCUCUUGGCGGUGGCCGUCUCCGAAAUACAGUGGCGGUCUCGCCGCAGCCUCUCCUGCGCAGUAGUUUGCACACUCGCAUCGGGAGCGCGGCGCGUCCACAGCCGUUAAACACCCAACUUCUGAAAUGUUGACCUCGGAUCAGGUAGGAAUACCCGCUGAACUUAAGCAUAUCAAUAAGCGGAGGAAAG
rnacentral:rRNA from 1 species